rnacentral:rRNA from 1 species
GUAGGGCGCAAGCGUUAUCCGGAAUUAUUGGGCGUAAAGAGCUCGUAGGCGGUUUGUCGCGUCUGCCGUGAAAGUCCGGGGCUUAACUCCGGAUCUGCGGUGGGUACGGGCAGACUAGAGUGAUGUAGGGGAGACUGGAAUUCCUGGUGUAGCGGUGAAAUGCGCAGAUAUCAGGAGGAACACCGAUGGCGAAGGCAGGUCUCUGGGCAUUAACUGACGCUGAGGAGCGAAAGCAUGGGGAGCGAACAGGAUUAGAUACCCUGGUAGUCCAUGCCGUAAACGUUGGGCACUAGGUGUGGGGGACAUUCCACGUUUUCCGCGCCGUAGCUAACGCAUUAAGUGCCCCGCCUGGGGAGU